CGAACUCGUUGAGACUCGUUCAUUUAUGAUCCAACUUCAGGAGAGACGGAUGUUCUCCGAAAAGUGCUGGAUUUAUAGAGCCUCCUCGCUAUCGCUUCAAGCGUCGAAGAGCACCUGCUAUAAGUAGCUCUUAUCACAAUUUUAAUCGAGAUGGAGAAAGAGACAAAUAACAAGAUUCUUCUCUGUUCUUGUUUCUCCUAAUGCUGGAUUUAUAGAGCCUCCUCGCUAUCGCUUCAAGCGUCGAAGAGCACCUGCUAUAAGUAGCUCUUAUCAUGCUUUUAAUCGAGAUGGAGAAAGAGACAAAUAACAAGAUUCUUCUCUGUUCUUGUUUCUCUUAAUGCUGGAUUUAUAGAGCCUCCUCGCUAUCGCUUCAAGCGUCGAAGAGCACCUGCUAUAAGUAGCUCUUAUCAUGCUUUUAAUCGAGAUGGAGAAAGAGACAAAUAACAAGAUUCUUCUCUGUUCUUGUUUCUCCUAAUGCUGGAUUUAUAGAGCCUCCUCGCUAUCGCUUCAAGCGUCGAAGAGCACCUGCUAUAAGUAGCUCUUAUCAUGCUUUUAAUGGAGAUGGAGAAAGAGACAAAUAACAAGAAUCUUUUUCAAAAUAGGAAUUUCAAUCUGAAUUCAAGUGACGAAUGUUGUAUCUGAGAGAUGUCGAUUUGGAAAAUGGAUGAGGGCGAGUUUUAACCAUGAAAUGAAAUAUAAUAUCCAACUAAUAAACAAGAAUGUAUGCAGUGAGAAUGGCACAAGCUCAGACACAUGCACAUUCAUAUCAUAGUGAUCAUAUAUCUAUAAUUUACUGUUGAACUACAGGGUUUGUCCGGAAAGUAAUGCG